rnacentral:rRNA from 1 species
CCUACGGGAGGCAGCAGUGGGGAAUAUUGCACAAUGGGGGAAACCCUGAUGCAGCGACGCCGCGUGAGCGAGGAAGUAUUUCGGUAUGUAAAGCUCUAUCAGCAGGGACGAAAAAAGACGGUACCUGACUAAGAAGCCCCGGCUAACUACGUGCCAGCAGCCGCGGUAAUACGUAGGGGGCAAGCGUUAUCCGGAUUUACUGGGUGUAAAGGGAGCGUAGACGGCAAGGCAAGCCAGAAGUGAAAGGGCAGGGCUCAACCCUGUACAUGCUUUUGGAACUGUGGUGCUAGAGUGCAGGAGAGGUAAGUGAACUCCAUAGGGUAGCGGGGAAAUGCGUAGAUAUGAGGAGGAACACCAGUGGGGAAGGCGGCUGACUGGACUGUACCUGACGUUGGGGCUCGAAAGCGUGGGGAGAAAACAGGAUCAGAUACCCGAGUAGUC